CAGAGGGUGCGAGCGUUGUCCGGAAUCACUGGGCGUAAAGGGCGCGUAGGUGGCGACCCAAGUCAAUGGUGAAAGCUCGCCGCUUAACGGCGAGUCGGCCACUGAUACUGGGUUGCUCGAGCACUGUAGAGGCUAAUGGAAUCCCGGGUGUAGCGGUGGAAUGCGUAGAGAUCCGGAAGAACACCGGUGGCGAAGGCGGUUAGCUGGGCAGUUGCUGACACUGAGGCGCGACAGCGUGGGGAGCAAACAGGAUUAGAUACCCUGGUAGUCCACGCCGUAAACGAUGGGCACUAGAUGCUUGGGGGAGCGACCCCCUGAGUGUCGCAGCUAACGCAUUAAGUGCCCCGCCUGGGGAGUACGGCCGCAAGGCUG
rnacentral:rRNA from 1 species